rnacentral:tRNA from 1 species
AAGAAAGUGGCAGAGUGGUUAUGCGGUUGGCUUGAAACCACAAUGG